CAGGAUUGUGAAAUGAGCAGUGUUGGGCACGUUACUUUGAAAAAGUAAUUAGUGAUAGUUACUAGUUACUUCUCCCAAAAAGUAACUGAGUUACUAACUGAGUUACUCCACUAUAAAAGUAACUAGUUACCACUAAAAGUAACUAUUGCGUUACUCGCCUCUUAGCCCCCCCCCCCUUCUCAGAGUG